GUCCCUGUAAUGUUAUGGAUAACGCGUUGGACUUUUAAUCCAAAAGUCAUGGGUGCGAAUCCCAUCUGGGAUG